GGUGGCUCAGUGGUAGAGUGCUUGCCUUGCAUACAUGAGGCCCUGGGUUUGAUUCCCCAGCACCA
rnacentral:tRNA from 1 species